GGAAGGAUAUUUUAAAAGGAACUUUCAGUGAUAAUGAACAAAACUCAGGAGCUAUGUGGAUGACAGGAGCACCUAGGUGACCGACUUUACCCACUUCAAAUGCUACCUUGACCCUAGCACUCUCUCCACCCUGCAUCCUCACCUCAGACCAUCUGUUGGUUAGGCCAACAGCUCACCAUCCAUUCAUGCCCUGCCUAGACCAACAGCUCACUGUUCAUGCCCUACCCUGCCCUGCCCAGCCCUCCUCUCUGGCCUUCUGCCACGUGAGGUUCUUAGCAGCACAGCCUUCACCUCCGAGAAGGCGCAAUGGGAAAGACAGGUCACUCACAUGUCAGCCAGGAGUGCAGUGGCACGAUCAUACCUCACUGUAACCUCGAACUCUUGGACUCAAGUGAUCCUCCCACCUCAGGCUCCCAAGUAGCUAAGACUACAGGACAACCUGAACUCCUCAGCAUGACUUCAAGGCCUUUCUCAGUCUUCCCCCAUCGACCUCUCAUCUUACCAUGUCCUCCCACACUGCUCGCUCCUGGCACUCCAUCUGGCGCAGAGUCCCUGGCACAGAAAGCUCCUGGACUUUGGAAAGGUGCAGCUGGAAGAGAAGGGAAGUGAUGCGCAGCCCCCUAUGAAGUCACUCCACCUUGUGACUUCCACCCUCUACCCUGCUGUCCCACAGAGCUGACCUGACAACUGCCACGGCCCCUGACCCUGACUAGAUGAACCUGGGUGGUGGGGGUGGGGGUGGGGCUGCAUUGCCAGCCCCUCAUCAUCUCAGGAAGUGAAGCCUGGGCCAGGGGCUACAGAUGCCCCAUCUCUCCAGGCUGACUUGGGGAUCUGCAGGUUACAGAGUCCCUGAUUUAACCCAGCAGAUUCUAAUGGCCAGAGUUCAGAGAAGAGAGGAAUUCCUUUGAGGCAUGCAGAACCCUUAAAGCAUGGCUCUGCCCAGGUCCAAAGACCCCUGGAGAGCCCUAUACCACAUCCUCAAGGCAGAAAGAAACUCAGGUCUCUCUUUUUCUGAAUUGGUGAGGCUCUUUUCUCCUCCCAUCUGGUUUCCACUUCCUUAGGCACGUCCCUGAACCCAUGUGGCCACUGGGUGGCACUGUUGGAUGAGCCUAGAAUUUCAGGUGACCAGCAAGCAUCCCAAGACUCCUGGUUGCGAGUGUGAGAGGGACAGGAAACCACAGAGGUUCUCCUCCCCAGGCGCCCCGACCCUCUGUCCUUCCUCCUAGCUGUCGUUUGUGCCCCAGGCUCUCUUCCACUCCUAAGUCAUCUUCCCUGUACUCUUCUAGACACACGUUGCUUCUGCAACACCAGGAAUGCCAGGAUGAUUUAGCCACCUCCUCACUCCUCUACCUUUCCCUCCCCUGCUUCAAAGACUUGGGUCGAUCGAAGCACCAAAGCAUCACUGUUGCUGACACUAACAAGUAGUGCCAAGGGAUUGCCUUUAAGGAAGAUCAGGAGCGGAACAUCUGGUGGCAAAGAAAAUCUUUCUAAUAGCCCCAUUCUAGUGACCAACUUCAACCUCCUCAUAGCAGGAGAGUUCGGGAGUAGGGGACUUAGGAUGUUUUGUUCUUUUAAUCAAUUCAGAAAAUAUGUAUGUUUGAAAUAAAAAUAAAAAUACUUGAGCCAGA